UUUUGUCCUAUGCAUGGAUUUGAUUCCCAUUUGACAUGGUUUCCCCUUAAUAUGGGGUUAAAGACUCGCAUUGUUCUCAAUUACAUUUUUAGGGGGGCCAACCCGAAUGGUGAGCUGGUUUCAUGUUACGGUGGAAAACUUCUUCAUUCAGGGAUGGUCCCAGGACUGUCUGCGUUGCAACAAUCUGGAGUCGAUUUAUGGAACUAACAUUUCCCUUCUUUCCCCUACGACUCUAUACUUGUGUGCCGGUGGUAAACUUUAUCAUCUGGAUCGUUAAGUUGCCGACAUCAGAGACCGAACUGUUAACAGGAACGGAAAACAGUGAGAGCACAGCUGGAUGCCCUCAGCGAGUGAUGGGACUUUGGGUUGGUUUCCUUGAAGACAGGGUGGAAGUGCUUCUAGAAGGCUGAGUGGAGGAAACAUUGCGUCUGGUGGAAGAGUUUUUGUUUCUGAAUCAGAUGUGGGAUGAAGAAUGUAUCAUGGUAUUAGGAAAAGGUGGACUAUAAUGGCAAUUUGUAAUUUUUUGAUGCUUGCCAUAGAAACACUUCCCACCUUGGAAGAUUCCAAAGAUAGGUGGAGACAAAACUCCCCUCUCACUACCAAAGCAAGAGGCUCAGGCUAUUUCUCCUGGGGAUUUUUGAGUCAUGCGAGAGGGACACGAGAUCCAAGACAGUUGCGAGUUAACUGGAUGGUGCAGAGACCAGUAGGGUGAGCGCUGCAUCCUUACCUGAGUGCUCCUGGGUGUGACCUUGGAUAUAUUCCCAGAUGCGUAAGUGUCCUUGGUUACAUUUUCCCCAGUCAUUUCUCCAACUCUAUGUGCUAUGAGAUUACCUUUAAAGAAAUUCCUUUCCUGCAUAAUAAGCUGUUAUUGUUUGUAUAUGUCAAUGUUUGCAUCCAAGAGCCAGACUGGUAAAAUCAUAAUAUUUAAUUGGUUUUUUAUUAUUUGGAUUAUUUGCAUUUUUAAUAUAAGUAGUGCUGCAAUGAAUUAUUCACAAAGCUUUUCUCCCCCUGUAUUUAAGAUUAUUUUCUUAAUAUACAGGUUCAAC
rnacentral:lncRNA from 1 species